AACGAACGCUGGCGGCAGGCUUAACACAUGCAAGUCGAACGCCCCGCAAGGGGAGUGGCAGACGGGUGAGUAACGCGUGGGAAUCUACCCAUCUCUAGGGGAUAACACAGAGAAAUUUGUGCUAAUACCCUAUACGUCCUCCGGGAGAAAGAUUUAUCGGGGAUGGAUGAGCCCGCGUAGGAUCAGCUAGUUGGUGGGGUAAUGGCCCACCAAGGCGACGAUCCUUAGCUGGUCUGAGAGGAUGACCAGCCACACUGGGACUGAGACACGGCCCAGACUCCUACGGGAGGCAGCAGUGGGGAAUAUUGGACAAUGGGCGCAAGCCUGAUCCAGCCAUGGCGCGUGAGUGAUGACGGCCUUAGGGUGGUAAAGCUCUUUCACCCACGACGAUAAUGACGGUAGUGGGAGAAGAAGCCCCGGCUAACUUCGUGCCAGCCGCCGCCGUAACAC
rnacentral:rRNA from 1 species